GAUGAAGAACGUAGCGAAAUGCGAUAAGUAAUGUGAAUUGCAGAAUUCCGUGAAUCAUCGAAUCUUUGAACGCACAUUGCGCCCCCUGGCAUUCCGGGGGGCAUGCCUGUCCGAGCGUCAUUUCUGCCCUCAAGCCCGGCUUGUGUGUUGGGCGUGGUCCCCCCGGUUUAGGGGGGACCUGCCCGAAAGGCAGCGGCGACGUUCCGCCUAGGUCCUCGAGCGUAUGGGGCUUUGUCACCCGCUCGGGAGGGGCCUACGGGCGUUGGCCAUCCACCAUUUUUUUUUUACGGUUGACCUCGGAUCAGGUAGGAGUUACCCGCUGAACUUAAGCAUAUCAAUAAGCGGAGGA
rnacentral:misc_RNA from 1 species